rnacentral:rRNA from 1 species
GACGUAGGGGACGAGCGUUGUCCGGAUUUAUUGGGCGUAAAGAGCGCGUAGGCGGCUUGGUAAGUCGGAUGUGAAAUCCCGGGGCUCAACCCCGUGACUGCACCCGAAACUGCCCGGCUAGAGGUAGGUAGGGGAGAUCGGAAUUCCUGGUGUAGCGGUGAAAUGCGUAGAUAUCCGGAGGAACACCGGUGGCGAAGGCGGCUUCCUGGACCGACACUGACGCUGAGGCGCGAAAGCUAGGGGAGCAAACGGG